UUAGUAGCGGCGAGUGAACAGGGACCUGCCCAGCACUGAAUCGCACUGUCCGAUCGACGGGCACGAGCGAGGUGUAGUGUUCGGGAGGAUCUAUUAACCCGGCGCGUCGGGGCGAGUCCAAGUCCUUCUUGAACGGGGCCACUUACCCACAGAGGGUGCCAGGCCCGUAGGACUGCCGCCGCGCGUCGGAGAGGUCUCUCCCUAGAGUCAGGUUGCUUGAGAGUGCAGCCCUAAGCAGGUGGUAAACUCCAUCUAAGGCAAAAUAACACCACGAGACCGAUAGCAAACAAGUACCGUGAGGGAAAGUUGAAAAGAACUUUGAAGAGAGAGUUCAAAAGUACGUGAAACCGUUCAGGGGUAAACCUGAGAAACCCGAGAGUCCGAAACGGGAGAUUCAUCACGUCUCGGAGUCGCCGGCGGGCAGGCGGCGACGGUCCACCUCGGUGGGCCGCGCCGUCGUUCGCCGUGCGGCGACGAAUGUGUGCACUUCUCCCAAAGUAAGAACGUCGCGAGCCGUUGAGUCGCCGGCCUACGGCCCGACGGGAAGCCCCGGAGCGCGUUUUCUCGCGUUCCGGGACCCGCGAGGCCCGGCCCGCGCUCGACGGCACCACAAAGGCACGGAGCCGCGUCAGUUCGCGCCCGGCCCGUCGCAAGCGCGUCCGGUCACCCGGAACUCGGACCUAGUGCCGAUUUCGGAGUCGGACGGCUGCUGGCGGCGGCGCUCUUGGGCAGCCUCCGCACAUGCCGCUCCGCGACGCCAUAGCUAAGGGUUACUUCUCAGGACCCGUCUUGAAACACGGACCAAGGAGUCUAGCAUGUACGCGAGUCAUUGGGAAUCACUAAACCCACUGGCGCAAUGAAUGUAAAGACCGCUUCGCGCGGCUUCAGGGAGGAUGGGAAUCCCGACGGAGACCCCGCACUCCCGGGGCGUCUCGCGCUCAUCGCGAGCUGAGGCGCACCCAGAGCGCACACGCUGGUACCCGAAAGAUGGUGAACUAUGCCUGGUCAGGAC
rnacentral:rRNA from 1 species